rnacentral:lncRNA from 1 species
UCUCUCUCUCACUUUCUUUCUCUCCUUGUCUGUCCUAUAUAUACUCUCUCACUCUUUCUUUCUCUCUCUCCUUGUCUGACUGUGUUGCUGUCUAAAAACCACUCUCACCACUGCUGCUGCCCAGAUUCCCUGGCUUGAAGUGUUACUUCUGUAAACAUCCUCCACGUUCUCUCUUUAACAGUCUCAGAAAAAAAAAAA